rnacentral:rRNA from 1 species
UACGUAGGGUGCGAGCGUUGUCCGGAAUUACUGGGCGUAAAGCGCACGUAGGCGGACUGUUAAGUCGGGGGGUGAAAUCCUGGGGCUCAACCUCAGAAUUGCCUCCGAUACUGGCAGUCUCGAGUGCGGGAGAGGUGAGUGGAAUUCCCAGUGUAGAGGUGAAAUUCGUAGAUAUUGGGAAGAACACCAGUGGCGAAGGCGGCUCACUGGCCCGUAACUGACGCUGAGGUGCGAAAGCGUGGGGAGCAAACAGG